rnacentral:rRNA from 1 species
UGGGGAAUAUUGCACAAUGGGCGCAAGCCUGAUGCAGCCAUGCCGCGUGUAUGAAGAAGGCCUUCGGGUUGUAAAGUACUUUCAGCGGAGAGGAAGGGAGUAAAGUUAAUACCUUUGCUCAUUGACGUUACCCGCAGAAGAAGCACCGGCUAACUCCGUGCCAGCAGCCGCGGUAAUACGGAGGGUGCAAGCGUUAAUCGGAAUUACUGGGCGUAAAGCGCACGCAGGCGGUUUGUUAAGUCAGAUGUGAAAUCCCCGGGCUCAACCUGGGAACUGCAGCUGAUACUGGCAAGCUUGAGUCUCGUAGAGGGGGGUAGAAUUCCAGGUGUAGCGGUGAAAUGCGUAGAGAUCUGGAGGAAUACCGGUGGCGAAGGCGGCCCCCUGGACGAAGACUGACGCUCAGGUGCGAAAGCGUGGGGAGCAAACAGG